AAGACCUUGCGCUUUUGGAGCGGCCGAUGCCUGAUUAGCUAGUUGGUGGGGUAAUGGCCUACCAAAGCUUCGAUCAGUAGCUGGUCUGAGAGGACGGCCAGCCACACUGGGACUGAGACACGGCCCAGACUCCUACGGGAGGCAGCAGUGGGGAAUUUUGGACAAUGGGCGCAAGCCUGAUCCAGCCAUGCCGCGUGAGUGAAGAAGGCCUUCGGGUUGUAAAGCUCUUUCAGCCGGGAAGAAAAGGUUGCGAUUAAUAAUCGCAAUUUAUGACGGUACCGGAAGAAGAAGCACCGGCUAACUACGUGCCAGCAGCCGCGGUAAUACGUAGGGUGCGAGCGUUAAUCGGAAUUACUGGGCGUAAAGGGUGCGCAGGCGGUUUUGUAAGUCAGAUGUGAAAUCCCCGGGCUUAACCUGGRAACU
rnacentral:rRNA from 1 species